GUGCAUAUUGGGGAGGAAGAAAAAAUAUGCAAAAAAACCCACACCAAAAACCACCUGCUUGCAAAGAUAAAUUGAUUUCACUUCGUUUGAUAAUGCCACAAACAUUCAGGUUGGACAGGAGACGGGCAAAGGAGAGUGUAUCCCCUCUGAUAAAUGAGAAGGGAGAACUGUCUGCAACAGACAUGGAGACAGCUGAGGUACUCAAUGAGUGCCUCAGCCUUUAUUGGCAGUCAGGUUUCCCAUGCAUCUCAUGUCCCUGAAUGUCAAAGUGGAGUGGGGGGCAGGGGAGCAACAUUCCUCCCACUGUAAGAGUGCAGCAAGACCAAGACCGCUUCAUGAGACUGAAUAUGUACAAGUCUAUGGGGUGGACAACAUGCAUUCCAGGGUUCUGAAGGAGCUGGCUGAUGUAGUUGCCAAACCCCUCUCCAUCAUAUUUGAAAAGCUGUGGCUGUCACGUGAAGUCCCCAGUGACUGGAAAAGAGAAACAUCACGCGCAUUUUUAAGGAAGUGAGAAAAGGUGGCCUGGGGAACUAUAGGCCAGUGAGCCUCACCUCUGUGCCUGGGAAAUUCAUGGAGCAGAUUCUCCUAGAAGUGAUGCUGAUAGCACUGCUAUAUGCAGGGUGACUUGAGUUUGUGCCAGAAAUGACUGCACUGUGUUUCAGCCUAUAAUUGGGUUAAAAAGAGGAAAAAGGAGUACAGUGUUGGAACUCGCAAAUCAAUGAUCUCACUGAUGAAGCCGUGUAAUUCUUCAUGCACUCCAUCAUAGAAUGAUCUCGUUUGGAAAGGGGCCUUGAAGGUCACCUAGUUUGCUGAAUGUGACCUAAAUUGCAAAAUAAAAAACUUGUGCAAAGUUAGAGUGGGGCAUGCUAGCAGUAAGGCUACUUGCAAAUUGUUACGUUAAGGCAUUGUAUGCAUUCAGCAGUUUUCUUUGUGGUCUUUCUCCACUGUACAAACUAAUAUAUUCCUCAGUAAGGUGCAUUAGAGAUGAAUGUUCCAGAUGCAGACUGGAAGGAAAGGCAAUUAACGGAUGGCCUGCUGUGAAAUCUCUGGGCACCAACAGUUUCUGCACAGAAUUUUAUAAUUUUUAAGGAACAAUUGGUUUUCCUGCUAUGUGGGGUGACUGAAUGCAAACAGUUUCUGAAAGAGGAGAGCAGCUCAAUCAUUUUCACAACAGCUAAAACCCUACAGGUCUGCAUGUAGGUUUCUACUUUCAUCAAAUAGUAGCAAAGACUUGGUGACAAGCUGGUUCCUCUGGACCAGAGAAAAUUCUCCUUUCUUUUAUGGGCACACAUCAUUUCAGCUCUGAUGAGGGGAGAGCAGAUUUCUGAUAUCUUGUAAAGAAUCCGAGGAAGAGCAGUGUCUGAUGCAGGCCUCCAUCACACAGAAGGGACAGCAUAAAAGGGCAAAAUUGUUGGCCUUGAUCUCAAUUGCUGGCUUGCUGGCAGAAGUAACAAGUGAGAGGGGCUUUUUAUUUUUUAAUUCCCUCCCUCCUACAUCAUUAUUGGUCUGAGUAUGGAAAGAAUUUUCUUUCUCUUUAAAGGUACGAAUAAUAAUAAAUGAGAUAAUCUGAAAAAAAGAAAAGCCAAUUCCAUAUGGUAGGAGGGUAAAGCUGCCCCAUGGGAGCUCUAUUUUUCUCCUUCAGUAAAAAAAAAAUAGCCAUCAUGCAAAUUUUAAAAUCCAGCAGCCACUGAAGGGGAAGGGGAAACAACAAAAUGCUGUGUUUGCCUGUAGCUGUGGACCAAUUAUUCUUCCAAUAGCUGCAUUCAUGUGUGCAGUUCCCUGGUUACAAAGAAUGUGGAUUUUUGGCAUUGAGCCUGUUUAUCUUAAAAUCCAUUUUUUGUUUAUUUUAAGUGAGCUUGCUGAUGCAGUACACUUAUUGGUGAUGAUUUAGAUAUGAAGUUAAUCUAUAACUGUUAGUAAAGCCAUGUAUUGGUGUAGCUCUGAAGCAUUAAGAUGACUGUUUUAACUUUACCAAUGUGUUUUUUAUAGUUUAAGAUUUUAGUGAAGUCAGCAGCAAGCAAACACAAUGAGGUGUGACUUGGCUACUGUAGACUUCAGUUAUAUCUUCCCUUAUUGCCUUGCAGGAACACUUCUGUUUUAAGUAACUUCUGCAUUUGAUUAUUUGGUGGGAAAUGUUUCAAAGAGGUCUGAAACGUUUGUUCUAGCUAACAGCACGUGUCCUGAGUAAAGCAGCAUUUUGCCUGAAGAAGCUGUGGGUGCCCCAUCCCUGGAGCCAUUCAAGGCCAGGCUGGAUGGGGCCUUGGGCAGUCUGAUCUGCUGGGUGCAGCCCUACCCAUGCCAGUGUCUGGGGUUGGAACCCAAUGGGCUUGAUGGGCCCUUCCAACCCAAGCUGUUCUGUGAUUCUGUGAAAGCACUUCUUGUUUCUGCCUCCCGUGGAGCUCUGGUCACUGCAAGUUUCUCCUGGCUUUGGGACCAUCCAUGCCCGUGGUUUGGCCUCAGAUCUGAAAUGGAAGCUCUAAGAAAAAGCAGCUAGAUUUAAAUAUGGCGAUAGAUGAUGGCUUGUUGUCUCCUCUUUAAUUUUACUGUACAGAAGGGAGGUCUGAGGCACCAGGGCUGCACCAGCAGAGAAUGGAUUGCUACAACUGGACAUAAAGAAAUUAUUUUCUCACAUUUUUUCCAAGCUCUAUCUUUGAAUUUACCUGCCAAAUGUGUUAAGGACAGUAUUUGUCUAAGCCAGGAACUCUCAGCACAGCCUCAAUUUCCCAACCUCUUAAUCCCACCUGACACCAGUGAGCACAUUGGACAAGGUGCUGCAGGGUGCUGGCAAGCACAGCAAAGCUGGCAGUGAGAGCAAGGCAGUGAUGCUGCACACAGCUGAGGCACACAGGCAGUCAGGGCAGCUGGGAGUCUCAUCGCUGUUUCUGCUCUGUGCUACUUGAGCCAUUCAGUGCUGCUUUGCUGCUUGAUUCUGCUCCAUCAGGAGGUUCUGAUUUAAUUUGUAGUUAAAAUAGUCUCAUGAACAGAAGCAAAGCACUUAAAAACAGCAGAACAAAAUUGCUGUGCUGUGUCACAGAAUUUCAAAGGGGUGACUUUUCCCACCUGUAACUUUCGGUUCUGGUUGUUUCCCGCAUGGCAGCAAUGCUGAAAUACCUCUGGUGCAAAGGUAAUAACAAAGCUAAUUUUAAAAUUCA